UCCUGUGCUUGCACACAGGCUUCUUGGUGGCGGCAGCAGCAGCUUUAGCGUCUCAUGCCUGUCUCUGGGGUCCGUGCUGAUAGCCGCGGCUCGUGCCCAUCUCUGGAGCUCCUUCAAGCGGUGCUUUUAAUCCCCUCUCCUCGCGCACCAGGAAACAAAGAGGCAAGAAAAGGUCUCUUGUCUCUUCGGCAGCUCCAGCCUUUUUCCGGACUCUCUCCCGGCUAGCUAUGGCGCACUAGCCCCCUUCAGGCUGGGUUCACGCCGCCAACCCCAGUCCUCUCCCUGGGAUCCGACCGAAGCCCGAGCCUCAUCUCACAGCCCCCGCCCGCCGCAGCAGGUGAGCAGAGAAGUCUCUCAGUCUGGGCUGGAGGUGACUGGGGCUGGUGACAGAAGCAUUCACCAUUGCGUCCACUGCUGCGGGCAUCCUCAAUGACACCAUCCUCUGUAAAGCAUCGGUCUGUGGCCCCAAAGAGGUAACUUGUGACCACUAACAGUUGCUGCUCUUGAAUUCUGUGCAGACAUUUCUGAAGCCCCCGGAUAAGGCAGGAGCAGCUGUGAACCAAGUACAGUAAUGGUUGCCAGAUGCUGUUUCUUGACCACCGGGAAGGCAUGGUGUUGAGACAGGCAGGCCCCGGAAGGUGAAUGGUCUCUGCUGCAGAGAAACCUGAUUCCUGCUCAAAUGAUGAUGACCAGGUGUAUGUAACAGUGUCCCUCCUUCAAGCCAUCUGAUCCCACUGAUUCAUCAAGUGCUCAAUGGCCUCUGCGGUGUUCCGUCUCUUCAAAGUCCAGGAGAAUCUUUCCUCGGAGCAGAUGUUGAACCCAGGUCAUCUGGGAGAACACCAGGCAAACUCACCAAUAUAAGAUGACCGAAAAGCAGUCUGUGAGGAAAGAUCCUUUUACAAGAUUUUAAGCAGAGGUCUUGUAAUUAUAAGGAGGUUUGAAAAGCAUUGCUGACAGAUGCCCUUCGCACACUGCAUUGCCAGCGUGGUGCUACAGGGGACACGCUGACAGAUUUGCACAGGUCUUUUUUGUGGUCCACGGAAGGAAACCCAGGCUCCUUUGUGUUUUAAGCCUUCAUUCGGCAUCCUGGUCCAGUGAGAAGGAAGAGGAUCCGCAUCAAACCCUGGACAGGGUCUCCCUGGCUGCCUUUCAAGUCGGUGAUGCCUUCAAGCCUUUAGGAAUGGAUUUCAAUUCAUAUGUUGAGCAGCUACCUGAUUGGGCUCUGUCUCCAGCCCUGCCUCCUAGCACAGGCUCCAGACGCGCAGGCUCAGAAAUUGUGGCUCACGGGCCUAGUUGCUCCGCGGCAUGUGGGAUCUUCCCAGACCAGGGCUCGAACCCGUGUCCCCUGCAUUGGCAGGCAGAUUCUCAACCACUGCAC